UCUACGGUUCGGCGCCAAACACGGAGAAGCAAGCGAAGCAGGGAGCCAUGAUGGAUUGACGAAGUAAGCUGACGUUGGAACAGCAGAGAAAAGCUGCUUGUCAAAGGGUGUAUAAGGAUAUAUGGCAGCUGGCAUCAAGAAAUAAUGACACAAAGAAAUGAAGAAAAGUGUGAAGAAUUGAUGUAUUAUAAUAUUCUGUAAAUACUGUUGGACAAUUUGUUUGUAAUUAUUGUUAAUAAACAGUCUGUAUUGAUUUAUUA